GUCCUAGCCCUAAACGAUGAUUGCUUGGUGUAUCGGGUACCCAAUCCCGCCGUGCCGAAGCUAACGCGAUAAGCAAUCCGCCUGGGGAGUACGGUCGCAAGACUGAAACUCAAAGGAAUUGACGGGGCCCGCACAAGCGGUGGAGCAUGUGGUUCAAUUCGACGCAACGCGAAGAACCUUACCUGGGCUCGAAAUGUAGUGGACCGGGGUGGAAACAUCCCUUCCCGCAAGGGCUGCUAUAUAGGUGCUGCAUGGCUGUCGU
rnacentral:rRNA from 1 species